GAACCCUAGCAGAUCCUGCUGCGCCGCCCGCCCAGCCGCAGCCGCAACCGCGCGGCGAGGUCACGCGUUCCUCGCGGCGAGCGGGCCGCGAGUGAGCUCGGUGCUUUGGCUUUCCGGCCGUGGGUGAGUGGAGGCCUCUCUCUCUCCCCCGUCCUGUCACGACCCUCCUGCUUUUCUUUUCUUCCUCGCUUUCUCUCUCUCGUGCGAGUGCGGCCUUGUUUAGUUCCGAAAAUUCUUUUCGAAUUUCGGUACUGUAGCAUUUUCGUUUGUUUGUGACAAAUAUUAUUUAAUUAUGGACUAACUUGGAUCAAAAGAUUCGUCUCGCGAUUUCCAGCUAAACUAUGUAAUUAGUUUUUGAUUUCGUCUAUAUUUAAUGCUCCAUGCAUGUGCCGCAAGAUUCGAUGUGACGGAGAAUCUUGAAAACUUUUUGCUUUUUGAGUUGAACUAAACAAGGCCUGCGUCUGGCUGGGGUUUUUACUCGGGUUCGGUGGGCAGGAGCCGCAGGAGGGGGGAAGGAGGGAGAAAAUUCAUGCGUGGACGAGGGGACCUCCAAAUGGGAUGCGCCGUGAGCCGCGGCGUGGACAGGGUCCACGUAGUCGUAGCGUAGGUGAACGUUGCUGUAUCGGUCUGGAUUGAUUAUUAGGGGAUUCUCUGAUUUAAUUUCCGUUUAGGCCGACGCCAGCUGGGAUGAACUGCGGUGUGAUACCCGUUGUCUUUGUGUGAUCCGAUUCCGUUCCUUUUUUAUUUCCCACUUUCGUUCUAUUUUAUGUAAUAACAUUUAAAACAAACUAAUAACUAGUUAAAAACAAGCUCAUGAACUUGCAGGUGUUGUUGGAAGCUUCAGAUGAAACCCUACUUCCUUCACACGAAGAGAGAACGGAUUGGUCAACUUCACUCAAAGGAUCGAGAGAGUAUGACCC
rnacentral:lncRNA from 1 species